rnacentral:tRNA from 1 species
GCUGGAGUAGCUCAGUUGGUAGAGCACGUCCUUGGUAAGGACGGGGUCACGGGUUCGAUUCCCGUUUCCAGCU